rnacentral:rRNA from 1 species
UACGGAGGGUGCAAGCGUUAUCCGGAUUCACUGGGUUUAAAGGGUGCGUAGGUGGGCAGGUAAGUCAGUGGUGAAAUCUCCGGGCUUAACCCGGAAACUGCCAUUGAUACUAUAGAUCUUGAAUAUCCUGGAGGUGAGCGGAAUAUGUCAUGUAGAGGUGAAAUGCUUAGAUAUGACAUAGAACACCAAUUGCGAAGGCAGCUCACUACGGGAUCAUUGACACUGAGGCACGAAAGCGUGGGGAUCAAACAGG